UACGGGGGGAGCAAGCGUUGUUCGGAUUUACUGGGCGUAAAGGGCGCGUAGGCGGCCUGUGCAAGUCAGUUGCGAAAUCUCCGAGCUUAACUCGGAACGGUCAACUGAUACUGCUCGGCUAGAGUGCGGAAGGGGCAACUGGAAUUCUUGGUGUAGCGGUGAAAUGCGUAGAUAUCAAGAGGAACACCUGCGGCGAAGGCGGGUUGCUGGGCCGACACUGACGCUGAUGCGCGAAAGCUAGGGGAGCGAACGGG
rnacentral:rRNA from 1 species